CCUGGGGUUCAAUAGAAUCAAAAAAUGAGUUGGAUUUGAGCCUGGAUGGCUCAGAAAUCUCCCCCAGCAUAUUGCCUUUAAGUUGGUCGUG